rnacentral:lncRNA from 1 species
UUUUUAUGACUAUCAUGCUGAUGCAAAUUAGUGAUGGCAUGCACUAUAUUAUAAAUUGUUAUAACAAGGAAACUAUAACACCGUGGGAAAUAUAAGUGAACAAGAUGAGGAGAGAGGCCCAUGUCAUGGAAGAAGAAUUAAUCCUAGAUCACGAACAUGCAUACUUGCUUUAGUGAUAGCAGAGACUUCAAUCAAAUUGCAAGGUCUCUCGCCGGUGGCAGUGCGUGCACCUCCCGCCUCCAUGGCCGGCUGCCACGAGGUCGUCUAGAUGCAUUCGCGGCCGAGCGAUGGAUCCUAGACCAAGCAAUGUGCCGAUGGACGAGAUUCCUGCAGCUUGUGGUCAACCAGUGUCUCUGCUCUACGACUACAAAAUGAAAUAGUUGUCUUUAUAAAAGUCUCUUUUGCUGUGUUGGUUGUAACUGGCUAUCUUGUGGAUGCCGGUGUGUGAGUGCAAGCUCAAGAACUGAGCUAUCAGUGUAAAUUUGACCUAUACCAACCAACAAAUAUAUACAAUAAUUUUGCAAAAACCUUGAUGUCAAAUACUAACCGGUGAACUUCAGAACUGAUGUGAUCUUGAGCAGAAUAGAGUUUUGUUGUGGAUAAAACCACUUCACUCUUUCAGGUUUUCACCCACCUUGAACAUAAUA